GAAGUAGGGCGAGAGCGUUGUCCGGAUUUAUUGGGCGUAAAGAGCUCGUAGGCGGCUUGUCGCGUCGACUGUGAAAACCCGCGGCUCAACCGCGGACCUGCAGUCGAUACGGGCAGGCUAGAGUUCGGUAGGGGAGACUGGAAUUCCUGGUGUAGCGGUGAAAUGCGCAGAUAUCAGGAAGAUCACCCGUGGCGAAGGCGGCUCUCUGGGACGGUUCUGACGCUGAGACGCGACAGCGUGGGUAGCAAACAGG
rnacentral:rRNA from 1 species